rnacentral:rRNA from 1 species
UCCAGACUCCUACGGGAGGCAGCAGUGGGGAAUAUUGCACAAUGGGGGAAACCCUGAUGCAGCAACGCCGCGUGGGUGAAGAAGUAUUUCGGUAUGUAAAGCCCUCUCAGCAGGGAAGAGGAUGACGGUACCUGACUAAGAAGCCCCGGCUAACUACGUGCCAGCAGCCGCGGUAAUACGUAGGGGGCAAGCGUUAUCCGGAUUUACUGGGUGUAAAGGGAGCGUAGACGGCGAUGCAAGUCUGAAGUGAAAGGCGGGGGCCCAACCCCCGGACUGCUUUGGAAACUGUAUGGCUGGAGUGCAGGAGAGGUAAGUGGAAUUCCUAGUGUAGCGGUGAAAUGCGUAGAUAUUAGGAGGAACACCAGUGGCGAAGGCGGCCUGCUGGACGAUGACUGACGUUGAGGCUCGAAAGCGUGGGGAGCAAACAGGAUUAGAUACCCCGGUA